rnacentral:rRNA from 1 species
AGCAGCCGCGGUAAUUCCAGCUCCAAUAGCGUAUAUUAAAGUUGUUGCAGUUAAAAAGCUCGUAGUUGAAUUUCGGGGUUAGUAGGUUGGUCGUGCCACUGGUACGUACUGGUCUCACUAAUUCCUCCUUCCUGAUGAACUGUAAUGCCAUUAAUUUGGUGUUGCAGGGAAACUGGACUGUUACUUUGAAAAAAUUAGAGUGUUUAAAGCAAGCUAACGCUUGAAUACAUUAGCAUGGAAUAAUGAAAUAGGACGUUCGAUCCUAUUUUGUUGGUUUCUAGGAUUGACGUAAUGAUUAAUAGGGAUAGUUGGGGGCAUUAGUAUUCAAUUGUCAGAGGUGAAAUUCUUGGAUUUAUUGAAGACUAACUACUGCGAAAGCAUUUUGCCAAGGAUGUUUUCAUUAAUCAAGAACGAAAGUUAGGGGAUCGAAGACGAUCAGAUACCGUCGUAGUCUUAACCAUAAACUAUGCCGACUAGGGAUCGGAUGAUGUUAAUUUUUUAAUGACUCAUUCGGCGCCUU